GAUGAACGCUAGCGGCAGGCUUAAUACAUGCAAGUCAAGGGGGUAGCAAUACAACCGGCGCACGGGUGAGUAACGCGUACACAACAUACCAUAUACUGGGGUAUAGCUUUGGGAAACUGAAGGUAAUCCCCCAUAACAUUGCGAGAGGGCAUCUGAUUGCAAUUAAAGUUUCGGCGGUAUAUGAUUGGUGUGCGUUUGAUUAGCUAGUUGGUAGGGUAACGGCCUACCAAGGCGACGAUCAAUAGCUGGCGUGAGAGCGCGACCAGCCACACUGGAACUGAGACACGGUCCAGACUCCUACGGGAGGCAGCAGUAGGGAAUAUUGGACAAUGGAGGAAACUCUGAUCCAGCCAUGCCGCGUGAUAGAUGAAGGCCCUCUGGGUUGUAAAUAUCUUUUAUCUGGGAAGAAACAAUCUUAUUCUUAAGAUCUUGACGGUACCAGAGGAAUAAGCACCGGCUAACUCCGUGCCAGCAGCCGCGGUAA
rnacentral:rRNA from 1 species